rnacentral:rRNA from 1 species
UGGUGGAGUGAUUUGUCUGCUUAAUUGCGAUAACGAACGAGACCUUAACCUGCUAAAUAGUCAGGCCAGCUUUGGCUGGUCGCAGGCUUCUUAGAGGGACUAUCGGCUUCAAGCCGAUGGAAGUUUGAGGCAAUAACA